UUAUGUUGUCGUGUUGAAAUUAUUUUAUAUGCCUUUGGUUUAACUACUGGUGUAUUCUCAUCAUAAGAUUCAUAACUCUACAGGUUUUUCCUGCACAGGUAUUAAGUUUGCUUUUGAGCAACAUAGCUGUCUUCUUCUCCAUCAAUAGCUUCUUAGCUGUUGCCAGAAGGAAACAGUAGUCUCCACCUCCAGAUUAAAAAAUAAUAUUAAUAAAAUUGCAGACUUUUAUAUUUUCUGUUGUGUUGCAACUUCCACUUCCCUCUCCAAGUGUGCUACAAUAUAUGUUGUAUGUCUUGAAAUCUUUGUUUUAAAUAUCUAUACAUUAACAGUAUUUAGAAAGGAUAACUCUCUAAAACAAAUUGUUUUGGUGCACUAAAUCAAACACCCAUGGAGGUUCAUGAGAACAGCUACUGUGGAGUUCAGUAGGCUUUGAGUAAUGGGCAUAGGGCGCUGGUACAUGAAUAAAUAAAUGGGGAGGUGAUGAAAUGCAUUGAAUGCAUCUUUCUAGAGCACUCCAAGGUUUGCUUUCAGAUGUACCAGCCAACUGGAAUACUGUGGAAGAGCCCUCAGGUUCUGCUCACACCCAGUGUUUUAAGAGGCACCACCCUCAGCUGUUAUUAAAUAUGCAGUCCCAUGGAAGAAUCUUUUAAAUGCAAGAUGCUGAUUAAGAGCCAGAUUGUGACAUUUAGCUAGAGGCCUAGAUGGGUGUUGAUGCCCUUCUCAGGACAGGACUGUGCCUAAGGUGCUGCAGUACCUUCUCUCAGCUUCUCCGUGUGAAGGAUGGGUUGCAAGCUUUGCAGUGUGGAUGAACUGGUAACUUCCUGGCACCCAGAUGUGCUUUUUCUUGCCCAAAUUUCCAAAUAAAGCAGUAUUUAAUACUUUUUUUUUUCUUUUUUCUUGGCUUUUAUAUUGAACAUUAAUGCACAAAGUGAGAAUCUGAGGAAUAUGUAUAUUAUUAACUAAUUCUGCCUGAUUACUUCCCAAGCUGUAUGCAGCAAUGCUUUGAUUACCAUGCAGAGUGAGAAGUGAGAAAGGAGGAACGCGCUUGCCUUUUCCACUACCAUUUCUCUCCAUCUUGAGGUAAAUCCACACGAGCUGAUAGAAGAAGUCCUUAGAGCUGUCAUGAGGAGAAUGAUGUAAGUUAUUAAAUCUGAUGAUUACCUACUCUAAUGAACCACUCUUGGAGACAGUACCAGUAACUUUAAAACUUUGGAGAGAAAGGAGAAGAUGAGCAGUAGGGUAUGUGGGGCAACACUAUCAUCAUUUGAUAAGACUAGUUAGGAAUCUUCUAAUUAAAUCUCCUAAUCUGACUCCUAAACUGCCAGACUGCUCAUUUUAGUGAAUGGGUGGAAAGAUACGGAAAAAAUAACCAGAUCUGGUCAAAAUGAAAUAGAUGUCUUCCAGAAAAUCGCAUAUAUUGAAUAGGGAAUGUUAGUUUCCUUACAGUCUUAGUCACAAGUAAUAGAAGACUGCUGGAAAACCUGAGAUAAAAAAGUGACUAAUACGCUAGCAUUUUCUUCAAAGUUAUGUAUGGGAUGCCCGAUAAGGUCUGUGGUAUGGUUCAACUGGAGUGUUGGAUCCUCGGACCCAGAAUAUCUGUCACAAGAGAGCUGUGAGGAUUGCUCUGAAGCUGAGAAAAGUUUUGUGGGAAGGAUCGGAUCUGUUUCUGAGAGCCAACGACAGGUCACAAUUUAUUAGAAUGCUUAAAAGAACCCUGGAAGUGAACAAGAGAAGACAAAGAAGUUCAAAACUAAAUAAGAGCCAGAUAAAAGGGUAGAGUUAGUCUGGUCAAGACAAAAAAUGGCACACAGACCCCUGUGGGGACCUCUACUCAGCAUCAUCGAGCUGAAGAUUUCUAGCUUUAGGAUCUAAAUGAAGCCUUUGCGAUUCCAUACUUGUUUCUGAUUUGCUGUUCACAUAGAUAUGCAGAUAAUUCUUGAUCCCUCUCUCUAGAAUAGAAAAGUACAUGAAUGUUCCCAUUUAGAGCAAUGAAUGUAUUUGCAUGCUUAAAUGCUUUAUUUGACAGGUUUUAGGAACCCAAUCCAGCAGCACUCAGUGAGGACAAUGAAACUCUUUCCCCUGACAUGAAUGGAUAGUGAUUUGGGUCUGGUAAAGAUAACUAUGCUUGCCAGGCUGUUAUGGGAAAUAAGCACCAUCCUUUUAUGAGAAGGAAGUACAAUUACACCAUACGAAGAAACCAGGUCCCUGAGGCUUUCAACAUUCUUCCCAAUGAAUGAAGCCUUAUAAUUACCACCCCUACCUGUGAGAGCUUGCUAAUAUUGCAUGGGUAAGACUUAGAGCUUAAAAUCUCUCCUUUAAAAAAGCAAUAACAACAACAAACAAAUGCCUGUGAGAAGCCUGUGGCUUAGAAAUGAUGCUGUGUUCCUGACGCUUUUACCUAACAUGCAAAUAUUUUUGUCUGCUUUGCUGUGUUUUUUUUUCUUGGUUUGCUCAGCUGGCAACAUGAAUAUGUAGAUGAUCUAAUACAAAUGGCUGAGCUGUCCCUGUAGGCAUGUCUCACCACAGCUUAGGGAAAAUGAUCAGAAGGGGAUAAAAACAAAGGAUUUAAUCCUUAAGAAGUACAUUGCUACACCUGGAAAGUCUGAGUAGAGGACUGAGAAACUUUCUUAGUGCUCAGUCAAGCCACCUUUCUGUCCAGAUGAUUUGGGAACACAGUAUUUUCCCUCACUGUCUGGAACAAAUGCUGUAGUAAUUAUCAUUGCCUCUCAGAAGAGCUGCUAUUAUAAAUAAAGCGUCCUCUGUAGGAUAUAGAAUAAUUUUAGUUAUUGUAUCCUUAUUAAAAGUGUAUCAAUG
ensembl:lncRNA